rnacentral:tRNA from 1 species
GCUUCAGUGGCUCAAUUGGUAGAGCAGGACUCUUGUAAAGUUCAGGUUGCAAGUUCAAAUCUUGUCUGAAGCUCCA